rnacentral:rRNA from 1 species
CGCGGGGAGCUUGCUCCCUGGCGGCGAGUGGCGCACGGGUGAGUAAUACAUCGGAACGUGUCUUCUAGUGGGGGAUAACUGCCCGAAAGGGCAGCUAAUACCGCAUGAGACCUGAGGGUGAAAGCGGGGGAUCGCAAGACCUCGCGCUGGAAGAGCGGCCGAUGUCCGAUUAGCUAGUUGGUGAGGUAAAGGCUCACCAAGGCGACGAUCGGUAGCUGGUCUGAGAGGACGACCAGCCACACUGGGACUGAGACACGGCCCAGACUCCUACGGGAGGCAGCAGUGGGGAAUUUUGGACAAUGGGGGCAACCCUGAUCCAGCCAUGCCGCGUGCAGGAUGAAGGUCUUCGGAUUGUAAACUGCUUUUGUCAGGGACGAAAAGGGAUGCGAUAACACCGUAUUCCGCUGACGGUACCUGAAGAAUAAGCACCGGCUAACUACGUGCCAGCAGCCGCGGUAAUACGUAGGGUGCAAGCGUUAAUCGGAAUUACUGGGCGUAAAGCGUGCGCAGGCGGUUCUGUAAGAUAGAUGUGAAAUCCCCGGGCUCAACCUGGGAAUUGCAUAUAUGACUGCAGGACUUGAGUUUGUCAGAGGAGGGUGGAAUUCCACGUGUAGCAGUGAAAUGCGUAGAUAUGUGGAAGAACGCCGAUGGCGAAGGCAG